rnacentral:pre_miRNA from 3 species
UCUUAUGGAUGAGCAAAGAAAGUAGUUUAUUGAAAUGAAAGAUAUUCCUGGUGAAGAUGCUGUGAA